rnacentral:tRNA from 1 species
UCCGGGUUGGGGUAGUGGUUAUCCUUCAGUCCGUUCCGACUGAGACGCGCAGUUCGAUUCUCGCACCCGGAC